GUCUGGGUACCUAUAGUGGUCCUUUAAUCUCAAUUAAUGCUUACAAUGUUUAUGAAAAUCAGAAAGCCAGGGUCCGAGGCUGGAUCCACAUAAACAAUAGAGUAUCAACUUACAACCAAUUGUUGCCGAAGGUGUGCCGAUCCUGGUUCUCCACAUUAAACCACCAGAGGGCGUGCAGGGGAAUUAAAACUCCUGCUAUCCAUCCAAUGAUCACAUCAUGCGCUCAUCUUAGAGCCGAAACAGGACUAGUGGAGUGAGGGCUCUAGUACAAAACUGUAAACUGGGGGGUGGUAGCACU